rnacentral:ribozyme from 1 species
UGAUCCCUUAUGCCGAACUGAUGAGAUCCUGAUCGAUUUCCCCGAGGAUGGCAUUGACAUCCCUCCGGGGAAAAAAAUUGAAUUGGAUGGCAACCUAUUUCAAAUCGAUGUUUGCCGGUGUCAUGGUUGGGAGUACA